GCGCUGCCUUUGAGCCCCCGGCGCACCUUCUCGUGGUGCCGGGGGUUAAGCUGCGGCGCCAUAACACUCUGCUAGCGCAUAACUGGGGCCGCCUGCCCUUCGCGGGCAGCCCUUUUAACCGCUAGCUACAGGC
ensembl:snoRNA Gm22711 predicted gene, 22711